rnacentral:rRNA from 1 species
AUUGAACGCUGGCGGCAGGCUUAACACAUGCAAGUCGAGCGCGCGGCGGACGGGUGAGUAAUGUCUGGGAAACUGCCUGAUGGAGGGGGAUAACUACUGGAAACGGUAGAUAAUACCGCAUACCAUCAGAUGUGCCCAGAUGGGAUUAGCUAGUAGGUGGGGUAAAGGAUCACCUAGGCGACGAUCCCUAGCUGGUCUGAAAGGAGGACCAGCCAAACUGGAAAUGAGACACGGGCCAGAAGCAUACGGGAGGCAGCAGUGGGGAAUAUUGAACAAUGGGCGCAAGCCUGAUGAAGCCAUGCCGCGUGUGUGAAGAAGUCCUGAGGGGUGUAAAGCACUUUCAGCGAGGAGGCGUGCCUCGCAGAAGAAGCACCGGCUAACUCCGUGCCAGCAGCCGCGGUAAUAC